GCCCAAUUUCGCACGUGCCUGUGGCUGCGUGCCGGUAGGCGACACCCGAGGGACAAGAGGCCCGGAGGUCGCCUGGGCAAACCGGCAGCCGGAGAUCAGAACCGGCGCACUCGGCGUCUCACGCCGGGAACGCGGCUUGAAGCAACGACGUAGAGGGCUUUU
rnacentral:sRNA from 1 species